ACUCAUACCUUGCAGGGGAAAUACCAUGUUGUAAAAGUGGAUUUUCCAGGGAGAGGCUCAUCCAUUGCACUUCAGGUAUAUUGCUGAUCCUUGUGAUUUUCCUGAGUGUGGGGAACUCAACUGCAUUAUUUGUGUUAAUGAGAGAUUGUAUUUGUGAUUUUCUUG
rnacentral:snRNA from 1 species